ACAAUGCCUUCCUCUCCCAAAUUAUUCCACGCGCGUCCCUCUUCCUCUCGCAAAUCCACCGUCCUCCUCUUCUCUUUUCUCAUUAUUGGCAUCGCCGGCUUCGUCUUCGGCAUCUCCGCCAUUCUCGCCGUCUCUCACGGCGGCUACCGCUGCAACAACUCCCCUCCGAGAUCCGUCAAAGUCCUCUGGACCACCAAUGCUAAUACUAAUAAUGAUAAAGGUGGUUUAGGGUCCGAAUCGAAGAGGCAUAAAGUUAUGGGCUUUGUUGGGAUCCAGACCGGGUUCGGGUCCGUGGGUCGGAGGAGAUCUUUGCGAAAGACGUGGAUGCCGUCUGAUCGUCAAGGCCUUCAACGCUUGGAAGAAGCCACUGGUUUGGCUUUCAGGUUUAUCAUUGGUAGAACCAGUGAUAAUUCAAAGAUGUCAGCUCUCAGAAAGGAGGUUGCGGAAUAUGAUGAUUUCCUUCUAUUAGAUAUUCAGGAGGAGUACAGUAAUCUCCCCUACAAAACACUGGCAUUCUUCAGAGCUGCAUAUGCACUCUUUGAUUCUGAGUUUUAUGUCAAAGCUGAUGAUGAUAUAUAUUUGCGGCCAGAUCGCUUGUCAUUGCUCUUGGCAAAAGAGCGUACUCACUCUCAGACUUAUCUUGGAUGCAUGAAAAAGGGUCCAGUUUUUACUGAUCCAAAGCUCAAGUGGUAUGAACCACUGUCGUAUUUGAUUGGGAAGGAGUACUUUCUCCAUGCAUAUGGACCUAUAUAUGCUCUUUCUUCAGAUGUUGUUGCAAGUUUGGUUGCUCUCAGGAAUGACAGUUUCCGGAUGUUCAGCAAUGAAGAUGUUACGAUUGGUUCGUGGAUGCUUGCAAUGAAUGUCAAUCAUGAAGAUAACAGAGGACUGUGUCAAGCAGAGUGUACAGCAACAUCUAUUGCUGUCUGGGAUAUUCCCAAAUGUUCAGUGAUGAUACAGAGUCAAGAGCGGGUAAAGUUGAAUGAGCAUGUGUUUGGUUUUAAAUUUCUUUGAAGACGAAAGCAUAGCAAGUAGCAAGUUGCAUCUUAUGGCUAGUGGAGUAAACGUUGUUACACAGUGAGGGCUUUGCAAUCCUGAAAAGAGGUUAUUGGAACUUCAUCAGCAAGACAGCUGCUCAAAAAGCCCAACUCUGGCGGCUGAUGACGAGUAGCAAUUUUUUCCUAGAUGCCACCCGGUUUUGUUACGACGGAAAGGUGCUUACUUGAAUUCCUCGCUCUCUGAGGUGGUUGUGCUACUACCAGAUACAUCCAUCUUAGGCAUUCCUUUCCUACUUAUUCUCUUCGCCUCUCACCGCCCCCUACCACUCAACAUAUCAGUAUCUGUGAUAUGAGUUCAACCAGCGGGAUCUUUUCCAUCACAGUUUCUUUCAUCAGAUUUUAGGAUAACUGGUAGUUAGAAUCUGAAUACUCCAUGUAAACUAUAUUCAUUUGAACAAACGAUUCUGUGAAAGUUGUUGAAGUGUAUCUUUUGUCUACUAGAAUGUGGAGAAAUGAAGAGUGGUUGUAAGCAAGUUUGUUAAGGAAUUGGAAGUUCAUCACUUUCCUA